rnacentral:tRNA from 1 species
CAGGAUAUAGCUUAAACAAAGCAUUUUGCUUACACCAAAAAAACAUCGGCCAUGCGAUUGUCCUG